rnacentral:miRNA from 1 species
AUAGGUCAGCUCUGAGCCCAAGCCCACCCAGCAUCCCCGGCGGUAUGCACAACCAGAGCAGUCAUAGCUCCCCCGCCCCCCCCCCCCGGGGAUGCUGGGUGGGCUUGGGCUCAGAGCUGACCUAU